CAAGGAGAAAAAGGGAGCCAAGCCAAGGUCUCCUCUGUCAGCCCCACCCAGCGAGCACCAUUUCCUCAUUCUGGGCAAAAAACCACCCAGGCACCUCUAAGAACCUGGGGAUCGGCAUCCGCUUAUUUCUAUUUAUGAAGUGGAGAAAACCAGGGCCAUCUAGGGAGCAUGUUUUACCAGCAUUCAGAGCCUGCUGAUGCAGGUGGCCACAGGAACAGGUUCCAAGAAGCUGUCCAAGAGCUGCUGGCCCAGUAAGAAAAGAAAAACUGAAGCAUGAGAGAUGAGCAUCGCUGUAAAGUCCCCACAGCUGCCACAGAAACGCAUGUGCUGCAUUCCAUCAUCCCUUGCAUCCAAAAUGCUACUGAUGCAUAGCACCUAAUCAAGUCCCAGGCUGCAUUGCGAUCUGAGGAAGCUACGUCACCUCCAUCGCUACUGUAUUGUCUGCUAUGUUGUUCAGGGCUGGCUUUUCUGAUUCGUGAUUUUCCCUGUUGAAAUAAAGUUCAAUCCAUUAUUUUAUCUGUAAUAUCCAAACCAAGCAGAUGAAAAACAUCUCAAUAAAGAGCUUCUUUUUCAGUGACAGAAAGAAAUUUGACUCUUUGGGAUAAAAGAGAAGAGCACAGCUCCUUAUAGUUCAAACUACUCAGAAAA